GGGGGGCAAGGGUAUUUUCGUGACUCGUGAUUAGCAAUUAUUCGUGCUUCGUGAUUCGUGAUUUAAAGAAAUACCAUUCCGUGAAUCGUGAUUAACAUGCGUGCCGUGAAUCGUGAAGAGCUAAAAGGCUAGCUAGGGUCUUGAAUUUACCAAUAUUUUACCCUAACUUGUGAAUGUUUACGUUUAAAACUCGGCCCAAAAUUAAUAUUAUGGGGAAAAAAUGAAUAAAUUUGCUUCCC